rnacentral:sRNA from 1 species
GCACCUCAUAAAGCGGGUGCCGGGUUUGACAGCCUGAUUGUUAGAGCGGGUAGCCGCUAUAUUUCCGUAAUGCGGUUUUUUU